ensembl:rRNA 5S_rRNA 5S ribosomal RNA
GUCUACAGCUCUACCACCCUGAACACGCCCGACCUCGUUUGAUCUCGGAAGUUCAGCAGGGUCGGGCCUGGUUAGUACUUGGGUGGGAAACCACCUGGGAAUGUCGGGUGCUGUAGGCA